UUCUUCAUCCUCAUCAUCGUUUACCUUCAAACUCUCAAUCCCUCUCUUCCCUCUUCUCUCACGUCCCACUCCCCUCACCCACAGCGGCGGCACAAUUAAGCCCAGCCACGAGUUCCACCACCAACAGCAACCACUUCUCCUCCUCCCUUUAUUGUUGGAGGCGACGUCAUCGAGGAACCAUUCUAGCUGUUAGCCGCGAAUCGAUCACGGCUCUUUGAAGCGUCUUGUUGCUUGUCUACAGAUCGGAACCAGUCGGGAAUAAUGGAUUAGCGGAGGUGAAUAGAGUUUCCAAGGAUGUUAAUUGAGCUGAGUACUUAGGAAUUAUAAAUUUGUAUUACGAAUUUUGGAUAAAUGUAAAUCUGUUUUGGCUGUGCUUGUUAUAUCGGACUUGUAGUGAAUUGUAUGAUUAUCUUGUGUAAUAGUUAGAUGAUGGCUUUGGGAUUUAGCUGAGUUAGUCACGUUGAAGAGCUUGUGACCCCUUUGCUUGAGUUUUGGAAGUGUGAUUUCAGUUUCUUGGGAAACGAACCUAGUGAUGACCCUGUUUGCCCAGUCAACGGUAAGUCGGGUUGUAAUAGUAGCAGUCCCUUAAAGGGUCUGGCCAGACUACUUUUAGUGUAAAAUCGUUUUAUCAAAAGCUCUUUUGAAUUGGAAAUUGUUGAGACAAUGUUGUUGUGAAUGCUUAUGUUGAUAUUAUGAUAUGGUCAAUGGAUCGGGCUUGCAAGCUGGUCAUUGACGGAGUUGAGGAACAUUGUUCCCUGCUCCCUGUUUGAAGCGAAUUGUCAUUGAGAUAUUGACUAGCUUCACCCGAGAGUGACAUAGCCUUAGAGCUAUGGAUGUUCCUCUCAACUAGUCUCCCUGUGCGCACAUAUAUCUAUGAAACUGAUGUUGCUUUUAAACCAUUGUUUUGAAUUGCUGUAUUUUAAUGUUUUGGAUUGUUACUUUUCAUUCAGUUUAAUCUGAUUCCCUGUUGUUUCCAUCUUUUAGUCGAUUACAGAUCGGAACCGGUAGGGAACGAGGGGUUAAUGGUGAUUGAAUUGCGUUCCAAGGUUGUAUUUUGAGCUGAGUACGUAGGAAUCUGUAGUUUUGUAUUAGGUUUUUGGAUAAAUGUAUAUUAGAUUUAGUUAUGUUGGUUAUAUUCGACUUGAAGUGAAUUGUAUGAUUACUUGUGUUUUAAUUAGAUAUUUGGUUUGAGAAUUAGCUGAGUUAAUUACGUUAAAGAGCUUGUGACCCCUUUGCUAGAGUUUUGGAAGUGUGAUUUUAGUUUCUUGGGAAACGAACCCAGUGAUGACCCUGUUUACCCAGUCAACAGUAAGUCGGGUUGUUACAGUUGGUAUCAGAGCCGGUUCGUGAAUUGAGGACCUUUGGAUGGGUAAUAAGGAUAUAGGACGAGUGUGAGUUAGAGAAAGACAU